UGAGGAAUAUUGGUCAAUGGGCGAGAGCCUGAACCAGCCAAGCCGCGUGAAGGAAGAAGGUGCAGAGCAUCGUAAACUUCUUUUGUCGGGGAACAAAGGCAGAUACGAGUAUUUGGAAGAGUGUACCCGAAGAAAAAGCAUCGGCUAACUCCGUGCCAGCAGCCGCGGUAAUACGGAGGAUGCGAGCGUUAUCCGGAUUUAUUGGGUUUAAAGGGUGCGUAGGCGGAUGUUCAAGUCAGCGGUGAAAUCCCGGAGCUCAACUCCGGCGAGCCGUUGAAACUGAAUGUCUGGAGAGAGUGAGAGGUCAGCGGAAUGCGCGGUGUAGCGGUGAAAUGCAUAGAUAUCGCGCAGAACUCCGAUUGCGAAGGCAGCUGACCGGCACUUAUCUGACGCUGAGGCACGAAAGCGUGGGUAUCGAACAGG
rnacentral:rRNA from 1 species